UUUGCGGAGAGUUUGAUCCUGGCUCAGGACGAACGCUGGCGGCGUGCUUAACACAUGCAAGUCGAACGGGAUCCUUAUCCGCUUGCGGGUUU
rfam:Actinomyces nasicola strain DSM 19116 Scaffold11, whole genome shotgun sequence.